rnacentral:rRNA from 1 species
GACGAACGCUGGCGGCGUGCUUAACACAUGCAAGUCGAACGGAAAGGCCCCUUUUGGGGUACUCGCGUGGCGAACGGGUGAGUAACACGUGAGUAACCUGCCCUUGCCUUCGGGAUAACUUCAGGAAACUGGGGCUAAUACCGGAUAGGAAUCCUUUCUGCAUGGUGGGGGUUGGAAAGCUUCGGCGGUUUUGGGUGGACUCGCGGCUUAUCAGCUUGUUGGUGGGGUAGUGGCUUACCAAGGCUUUGACGGGUAGCCGGCCUGGGAGGGGGACCGGCCACAUUGGGAAUGGGAUACGGCCCCGACUCCUACGGGAGGCAGCAGUGGGGAAUAUUGCAAAAUGGGCGGGAGCCUGAUGCAGCAACGCCGCGUGGGGGAUGACGGCCUUCGGGUUGUAAACCGCUUUCAGCAGGGGCGGAGCUUGUGGUGACGGUACCUGCAGAAGAAGCACCGGCUAACUACGUG